AACGAACGCUGGCGGCAGGCUUAAUACAUGCAAGUCGAGCGCUCCGCAAGGGGAGCGGCAGACGGGUGAGUAACGCGUGGGAAUCUACCCAUCCCUACGGAAUAGCUCCGGGAAACUGGAAUUAAUACCGUAUACGCCCUACGGGGGAAAGAUUUAUCGGGGAUGGAUGAGCCCGCGUUGGAUUAGCUAGUUGGUGGGGUAAAGGCCUACAAAGGCGACGAUCCAUAGCUGGUCUGAGAGGAUGAUCAGCCACAUUGGGACUGAGACACGGCCCAAACUCCUACGGGAGGCAGCAGUGGGGAAUAUUUGACAAUGGGUGCAACCCUGAUCCAGCCAUGCCGCGUUAGUUAUGAAGGCCGUAGGGUUGUAAAGCUCUUUCACCGGUGAAGAUAAUGACGGUAACCGGAGAAGAAGCCCCGGCUAACUUCGUGCCAGCCGCCGCAGUAA
rnacentral:rRNA from 1 species